rnacentral:rRNA from 1 species
UACAGAGACUGCAAGCGUUAUUCGGAUUCACUGGGCGUAAAGGGUGCGCAGGUGGCUAUGUGUGUGAGGCGUGAAAGCCCCGGGGGCUUAACCCCGGAAUUGCACCUCAAACUACAUGGCUAGAGCAUUGGAGAGGGUAGCGGAAUUCACGGUGUAGCAGUGAAAUGCGUAGAUAUCGUGAGGAACACCAGAGGCGAAGGCGGGUUGCUGGGCUGACACUGACGCUGAACUGCGAAAGCUAGGGGAGCGAACGGG